rnacentral:rRNA from 1 species
CGGACGGGUGAGUAACACGUGGAUAACCUACCUAUAAGACUGGGAUAACUUCGGGAAACCGGAGCUAAUACCGGAUAAUAUAUUGAACCGCAUGGUUCAAUAGUGAAAGACGGUUUUGCUGUCACUUAUAGAUGGAUCCGCGCCGCAUUAGCUAGUUGGUAAAGUAGCGGCUUACCAAGGCAACGAUGCGUAGCCGACCUGAGAGGGUGAUCGGCCACACUGGAACUGAGACACGGUCCAG